rnacentral:rRNA from 1 species
UACGUAGGGGGCGAGCGUUGUCCGGAUUUAUUGGGCGUAAAGAGCUCGUAGGCGGUUCGGUAAGUCGGAUGUGAAAUCUCCACGCUCAACGUGGAGGGGCCAUUCGAUACUGCCGUGACUCGAGUCCGGUAGGGGAGUGUGGAAUUCCCGGUGUAGCGGUGAAAUGCGCAGAUAUCAGGAGGAACACCGGUGGCGAAGGCGGUUCUCUGGGCAUUACCUGACGCUGAGGAGCGAAAGUGUGGGGAGCGAACAGG